AUGUACGCUGGCGGCGUGCCUAAUACAUGCAAGUCGAGCGAACAGACGAGGAGCUUGCUCCUCUGACGUUAGCGGCGGACGGGUGAGUAACACGUGGAUAACCUACCUAUAAGACUGGGAUAACUUCGGGAAACCGGAGCUAAUACCGGAUAAUAUAUUGAACCGCAUGGUUCAAUAGUGAAAGACGGUUUUGCUGUCACUUAUAGAUGGAUCCGCGCCGCAUUAGCUAGUUGGUAAGGUAACGGCUUACCAAGGCGACGAUGCGUAGCCGACCUGAGAGGGUGAUCGGCCACACUGGAACUGAGACACGGUCCAGACUCCUACGGGAGGCAGCAGUAGGGAAUCUUCCGCAAUGGGCGAAAGCCUGACGGAGCAACGCCGCGUGAGUGAUGAAGGUCUUCGGAUCGUAAAACUCUGUUAUUAGGGAAGAACAAAUGUGUAAGUAACUAUGCACGUCUUGACGGUACCUAAUCAGAAAGCCACGGCUAACUACGUG
rnacentral:rRNA from 1 species